rnacentral:lncRNA from 1 species
CCUGCAUGCACGAGAGGAAAUUAGCACAUCAAUGGAGCAUUAGUAUUAGCAGGAAAUUUGAUCGUCCUGCUUGAUCUGAUUCCUCCAACGUGACUGCGUUGCUUCCUGUUUUUUUUUUUCUUACAACAUCUGUGACCACCUGGAAUAUCAGGGGUGAUGUUCAUUGUCAUGUUAUUCUGACAUGUUACAGAAGGAACCACAAGCCAUAUGUCUUACAAAUGGAUUCCGUUCAUCAUAUUUUUCAAAUUUAGAAUGUUGUGGGAGAAGCCAAUUUUUGUUCAUCAUAUUUUGUUUGCACAUCAAUUGGUCAUUGUCACCAUUUAUGAUUGAUAUUGUUGGGCAAGAGGGGCUUGGUCUGAUGGUAACCAACCCUCACUUACAACUGAGAGGUUGUGAGUUCGAGUCUCCCCAGGAGCAAAUUUUGGGGAUUUAUGCCGGUGAGGCUGCGUACACACUACCCUCCCCAGACAUCACUGAGUUGUACUUUACUUUUUUUUGUUUAUAGUUUUAUACCCUUAGCAUCCGAAUACGUACAAGCUAAUGAAAAAUCAUGUACAAAUUCUAAAAUUANNNNNNNNNNNNNNNNNNNNNNNNNNNNNNNNNNNNNNNNNNNNNNNNNNNNNNNNNNNNNNNNNNNNNNNNNNNNNNNNNNNNNNNNNNNNNNNNNNNNNNNNNNNNNNNNNNNNNNNNNNNNNNNNNNNNNNNNNNNNNNNNNNNNNNNNNNNNNNNNNNNNNNNNNNNNNNUGGAAACAGCCUCUCUACCCCAGGGUAGGGGUAAGGCUGCGUACACACUACCCUCCCCAGACACCACUGAGUGGUAUUGUACUGGGUCGUACUUUUUUAUUGUUGGGCACUGAAUUCCGUCUCAUCUCCCUUCCGUAUAAUUUCCCCCUUCUUGCAUACCUCCUUUUCUUCUGUCACGUCUCUUCCCUUUGAAAAAACUGUGAAGCGACACCUGUGUUAACUCAAAGGGCAUACUGUAAGAGAUUCACUGUACCCGUGCAUGCAAGCAGGUAUGGAGAGGAAAGAAACGAAUUCUGGCUGUAGGUAGGAAAAACCCCAGGGGGUGGGGGUGGAGCAUCAGUGCGUCAUCGAAGUGAAUAAUCUUUUGCAACGCCUGUCUAUCAUUUCAAGCAUCUGUAUAUUGAGGCCACAAGCGUAGUCGCACAUUGAGUAUUAAUACCGUAUCAGACUUUAGUACAUAGCAGCCGAGGCAUAAAAAGUUCGACAAUUAUGUCGGUCACAAAAAGAAUUUGCGUUAGUCUAAUUAAACUCUUCUGGUUUGCAUCAACUUGCACUCAUUUAACCAUUUGUAAGUAGAGGUUCAUUCUCAAUACAGCUUUCUCGUUUACACUCCCCUCAUUGGUGGUCCAGUGAACCCCCUAUACUUUGCGCCAUCAUUACAUCGAAGCAACUAGUAGUAUUUCACGCUGAAAACGAGAUAUCAUCAUAGAAUUGAAAAUCUAAUAGAAGCGUUUGAGUUGAACCUUAACAUUCAACUUUCAUGUCAUUCAACAAAAGAGCAAUCAUGAACCAUACAGAUGCAUUACCCCAUAAAAUAAUUCUGCAAACCCUUGCGCGAAAGCACAUACACAGAGCUAUCACAACACACAACUCACAUGAAGUAAACUUAGAAUAGCUACAAAAGACUAGAGAAUGCCAUCCACCUAAUUAAUAACAUACCUAUGAGCACCAUGCACCUAAAAAGGAAUCAACUUUUUACCUCGAGCAUCUGCUGGGCAAGCAUUUAAUAUGUGAAUCUGUUUAAGUUAUACUGAUCACAUAGCGUCUGUCAAACCGAGUAAAAUGUAACCCUGUACUGAGCAAUAUACCAGUAAUUAAACAUUUCAUAAUCGAAUGUAAAAGACUAAUGCUAACUAAUUCCACCUCAAUACCUAACGCAUCCAAUCCUCCACUACUACUAAUCAUGAUACAACUCCUAACUAACAACAAAACUUUCCCACCGAAAUGACUUUGGAUCCCAUGAUUGUGUCAGCAUGACUGGUCUAGCUCAGAUAUCCAUCAAUAACCAUAGCUGGAUCCAUAAAUGGGACCAUAAUCCCCAGCAGGUGUAUGGCCAGUGCUACUAGAUGAAGUGUAUACAGGACCUUGAGAAUAUGGAUUAUAACCUUGGGAAGGUGGUCCAGCGGCAGUGUUCUGCAUUGAGCUGGCAGCAUCAGCAAUAGAAUUCUGCACCAUAAGCAGGGUGGUAAAAACUCACAUUUCAACAAUUAAGUUGUUUCCACGUUUUUAUAUAGUGCAUACCCCCCACCCCCUAAAACAAAAAAAAGGGGCACCAUCUGUGAUAUUCCAAACAAGAUCAUACUGUCCCCAUCCACAGACAGAAUAUUACCCACAGCAAAGGUGAAUUGAAGUGCAAUAAUCAACUUAUCAGCAGAUACUACCUGAACUAAUUGCUGCGCUGUUUGCACCUGUGAUGCAGAUCCCGAUAUCUCAACAGUCAUCUCAUCCGGAACACCCCUUGUUUCCUGGAUUGCAAUAGAUGCACCACUGGUCCGACGAAUAUAGCUAAUGUUUGAACCAGAGGUCCCAAUGACAGCAUCAGCAUAGGACAAAGGAAUUUGCAUGUUAUGUGUGACCUUUAAAAAAAAGGGAUUAAGGGAAAAGAGCAUCAGAAAUCAUAAUGUUGCAGUUCUAUAUAAAAAGAAUUAAAGGCCAAAAAAGAAAGCAAAACUUGCAACAACUUGAUAGUUCUAUUUGGUAGUAUCCUUAAAACGAUACCAGAUUCUUAUAUGCCCACCUCUUUCUAUAUGCCCACCUCUUUCUGUACCUUGUUGGGUGAUUUUAUUUAGUCAAGAUCAGAAUUCCCCUACCCGAUUGAAUGCAUACAAAUAACACACCUUUGUAACCAUGGAUUGUUGUGUUUGCACGUUUGUACCAUGAGUUCCCAUUGAAACAUCUCUACCAUAAAGAUGGGGGGCCUGACGAGGCUGCUUUUCGAAAGGAGGCAUGUCUAAAUGUGGGUAAUAACUAUCAAAUUGCCGCGGAGGCGGCAUAUACUGAGGGUUGGGCCCAAAACCAGGUCCACCCCCAGCAUUCGCAGGAAAACCGGAUGGUGGAGGGGCCCAUGACUGAGAAGGUCCAGAUGGAGGCAUGUUUUGGUUUGGACGAGCAUUUUGCAUUUGCAUCUGAACAGGAAAAAAGAAUCAUAAUUUCAAAGAGUAUUAUUGGAAAGGUCAAAAUCCACUGAAACCAGCGGUAGACUUACCUGCAUCUCAAAUACCCCAAUGACACUACGAUCAACUAAAAAUUUCCUGAGAUGUGAAGCAAUCAUUUCAACUGCUUUAUGCACCCCGGCGGGCUCUCCUUGUAUCUCAACAACACUAUCAUCAGGAAGGGCAAAAACUGGAAGGUGCUCUGCAGAAUCCAGUUGAUGGGAAUUAAACUUUAAAAUUACAUACCCAGAAGGAAAAAGGGAUUUUAGAUGAGAAGUUAGAAUAACAGACACAACUGUGUACCAUUUGACUUCAGAACAAACAACAUAACAUGUCAGCUUUUGAGCUAUACCAAGUUCACGACGUAGUCCCCUUCUUUUAAUUCAAGUAAACAAUAGACAAAGGAAAACUAACCAGAAGGAUCCAGAAACUUAUGUGUUAUUCUUCCAAUUGUUCUUUCAUUGCUUUUUCUAUCUAUUCUUCUAUCUUGACUCCCCCAAUCCAGGUUUCCAAAAUUUCAACAUCUGGAAUUAUCCUUAUCUUGGUUUUUGUUUAUUUCAAGAACUCAGAAAUGAUAUGCACAAAAUUCUCUAGUGCUCACUAGUCAAAUAAAAUUACUAAAUGGAGUAUUUCUAAAAGUAAAACAAUUACCAAUAACAAUUAAUAACUUGUACCAGUGUUAUUUAGCUUCACGUCCUCUUAGGACUCCAUGUGCCCACCCCUAAAGCCAGCUUGAGAUCGCAGAGGUCCAAAUAAAGACAGGAAAAGGUGGAAUCUAGGUUUCGCUCUAAACCUAUUUGGUUAUUUCCAAUACAUAAAUCAAUAGUCCAAACCACACUCAAAAGCUAAUGCAGUUCCCAUUUUAAGGAACUUCUAGUCUCUAUAAAGUCCAUUAAAUAUUAAAAGAUCUCCAUGGAGUCCUUUCAAGGAGGUUAAAAAUGGUAGGGGUUGAGAAGAUUUCUAAGAAGCCUUCGAGGGAUCCAUAAACAAAUUGGAUCCUAGAAGCAAAGUUUAUAGUUAAAAUAUGUUCAUAUAAAUCAAACAUGAAUACGACUAUUUAGCAAGUCCACCAGGGGUAUCAAAGACCCUACAGCGUAUUCACGAAAAUCCUACACCAUAUUAAGCAGACAUCUCUGUUUUCUCUUUUUGCUAUAGCUAACCCCACACACCCCAAACCACUCAACGGAGCCAAGUGUGGCUUUUCAUACUUCGCUCCCUUAGUGACUAGAACUACCAACCUCCUAAUUGGAGGCGGAGGGACCUUUCCACUAACCCAUCCCUCCCAUCUGUUAUUUUAAGAUUAACAUAUGUUUAUUCCUUGUAGAAAAACUUUAGAGAAGGAUAAGUACAGACCCAAAUUUCUCUUGAAAUACCUACUGAUUAAACAGCAUUAGAAGGCAUUAGGGAAUUUCACAUAAUUGAGUGACUGGACUCUGAUACAACGACUCUUCUGCUCUCUCUCUCCAGAAAAGUUUUUCUCCAACGUUCACGAGAGGAAAUUAGCACAUCAAUGGAGCAUUAGUAUUAGCAGGAAAUUUGAUCGUCCUGCUUGAUCUGAUUCCUCCAACGUGACUGCGUUGCUUCCUGUUUUUUUUUUUCUUACAACAUCUGUGACCACCUGGAAUAUCAGGGGUGAUGUUCAUUGUCAUGUUAUUCUGACAUGUUACAGAAGGAACCACAAGCCAUAUGUCUUACAAAUGGAUUCCGUUCAUCAUAUUUUUCAAAUUUAGAAUGUUGUGGGAGAAGCCAAUUUUUGUUCAUCAUAUUUUGUUUGCACAUCAAUUGGUCAUUGUCACCAUU